UGGGGAAUAUUGCACAAUGGGGGAAACCCUGAUGCAGCGACGCCGCGUGAACGAAGAAGGUAUUCGUAUCGUAAAGUUCUGUCCUAUGGGAAGAUAAUGACAGUACCAGAGAAGAAAGCUCCGGCUAAAUACGUGCCAGCAGCCGCGGUAAUACGUAUGGAGCGAGCGUUGUCCGGAAUUAUUGGGCGUAAAGGGUACGCAGGCGGUUUAAUAAGUCGAAUGUUAAAGAUCGGGGCUCAACCCCGCAAAGCAUUGGAAACUGAUAAACUUGAGUAGUGGAGAGGAAAGUGGAAUUCCUAGUGUAGUGGUGAAAUACGUAGAUAUUAGGAGGAAUACCAGUAGCGAAGGCGACUUUCUGGACACAAACUGACGCUGAGGUACGAAAGCGUGGGGAGCAAACAGG
rnacentral:rRNA from 1 species